rnacentral:rRNA from 1 species
AGUGAACGCUGGCGGUAGGCCUAACACAUGCAAGUCGAACGGCAGCACAGUAAGAGCUUGCUCUUACGGGUGGCGAGUGGCGGACGGGUGAGGAAUACAUCGGAAUCUACUUUUUCGUGGGGGAUAACGUAGGGAAACUUACGCUAAUACCGCAUACGACCUACGGGUGAAAGCAGUGGAUCUUCGGACCUUGCGCGAUUGAAUGAGCCGAUGUCGGAUUAGCUAGUUGGCGGGGUAAAGGCCCACCAAGGCGACGAUCCGUAGCUGGACUGAGAGGAUGGUCGGCCACACUGGAACUGAGACACGGUCCAGACGCCUACGGGAGGCAGCAGUGGGGAAUAUUGGACAAUGGGCGCAAACCUGAUCCAGCCAUACCGCGUGGGUGAAGAAGGCCUUCGGGUUGUAAAGCCCUUUUGUUGGGAAAGAAAAGCAGCAGGUUAAUACCCCGCUGUUCUGACGGUACCCAAAGAAUAAGCACCGGCUAACUUCGUG